AUUUGCGCCGAAGGUAUACCGGUAAGGAGUGCUGGAGCGAAUAGAAGUGAGCAUGCAGGCAUGAGUAGCGAUAAUUAAUGUGAGAAUCAUUAACGCCGUAAACCCAAGGUUUCCUACGCGAUGCUCGUCAUCGUAGGGUUAGUCGGGUCCUAAGUCGAGUCCGAAAGGGGUAGACGAUGGCAAAUUGGUUAAUAUUCCAAUACCAACAUUAGUGUGCGAUGGAAGGACGCUUAGGGCUAAGGGGGCUAGCGGAUGGAAGUGCUAGUCUAAGGUCGUAGGAGGUUAUACAGGCAAAUCCGUAUAACAAUACUCCGAGAACUGAAAGGCUUUUUGAAGUCUUCGGAUGGAUAGAAGAACCCCUGAUGCCAUCGAGCCAAGAAAAGUUUCUAAGUUUAGCUAAUGUUGCCCGUACCGUAAACCGACACAGGUGGGUGGGAUGAGUAUUCUAAGGCGCGUGGAAGAACUCUCUUUAAGGAACUCUGCAAAAUAGCACCGUAUCUUCGGUAUAAGGUGUGGUUCGCUUCGUAUUAGGAUUUACUCCGAAAGCGAAGAAACUUACAACAAAGAGUCCCUCCCGACUGUUUACCAAAAACACAGCACUCUGCUAACUCGUAAGAGGAUGUAUAGGGUGUGACGCCUGCCCGGUGCUCGAAGGUUAAUUGAUGGGGUUAGCAUUAGCGAAGCUCUUGAUCGAAGCCCGAGUAAACGGCGGCCGUAACUAUAACGGUCCUAAGGUAGCGAAAUUCCUUGUCGGUUAAAUACCGACCUGCAUGAAUGGCGUAACGAGAUGGGAGCUGUCUCAAAGAGGGAUCCAGUGAAAUUGUAGUGGAGGUGAAAAUUCCUCCUACCCGCGGCAAGACGGAAAGACCCCGUGGACCUUUACUACAGCUUGACACUGCUAUUUGGAUAAGAAUGUGCAGGAUAGGUGGGAGGCUUUGAGUAUAUGACGCCAGUUGUAUAUGAGCCAUUGUUGAGAUACCACUCUUUCUUAUUUGGGUAGCUAACCAGCUUGAGUUAUCCUCAAGUGGGACAAUGUCUGGUGGGUAGUUUGACUGGGGCGGUCGCCUCCCAAAUAAUAACGGAGGCUUACAAAGGUUGGCUCAGAACGGUUGGAAAUCGUUCGUAGAGUAUAAAGGUAUAAGCCAGCUUAACUGCAAGACAUACAAGUCAAGCAGAGACGAAAGUCGGUCUUAGUGAUCCGGUGGUUCUGUGUGGAAGGGCCAUCGCUCAAAGGAUAAAAGGUACCCCGGGGAUAACAGGCUGAUCUCCCCCAAGAGCUCACAUCGACGGGGAGGUUUGGCACCUCGAUGUCGGCUCAUCGCAUCCUGGGGCUGGAGCAGGUCCCAAGGGUAUGGCUGUUCGCCAUUUAAAGCGGUACGCGAGCUGGGUUCAGAACGUCGUGAGACAGUUCGGUCCCUAUCUGCCGUGGGCGUAAGAAGAUUGAAGAGAUUUGACCCUAGUACGAGAGGACCGGGUUGAACAAACCACUGGUGUAGCUGUUGUUCUGCCAAGAGCAUCGCAGCGUAGCUAAGUUUGGAAAGGAUAAACGCUGAAAGCAUCUAAGCGUGAAGCCAACUCUAAGAUGAAUCUUCUCUAAGCUCUCUAGAAGACUACUAGUUUGAUAGGCUGGGUGUGUAAUGGAUGAAAGUCCUUUAGCUGACCAGUACUAAUAGAGCGUUUGGCUUAUCUUUAAUAAAGCAU
rnacentral:rRNA from 1 species